UACGUAGGGGGCAAGCGUUGUCCGGAAUCAUUGGGCGUAAAGCGCGUGUAGGCGGCUCGAUAAGUCUGCUGUGAAAGUCCAAGGCUCAACCUUGGGAUGCCGGUGGAUACUGUCGAGCUCGAGUCCGGAAGAGGAGUGUGGAAUUCCUGGUGUAGCGGUGAAAUGCGCAGAUAUCGGGAGGAACACCAGUGGCGAAGGCGGUUGCCUGGAGCUUUGCUGACGCUGAGGCGCGAAAGCGUGGGGAGCGAUCCGG
rnacentral:rRNA from 1 species